CAGGUGUCCGAGGCACAGGCGGUGUCGCCGGCGGUUGCCGCUGAGGACAGUGACGAAGCUGCAGGUGGCCAAGGCAGAGGCAUUGUCGCCGGCGGUUGCCGCCGAGCGCGGCGACGAAGCUGCAGGUGGCCCAGCCAACCGGCUCAGCUCUUCUCAGACGGUGUCCCGGGCCAACAGGCUGACCAUGGUUGGCGGCGGAGUUAGAGCGGCGGAAGUUGCGGAAUGCACCGUUGCCCAGCAGCUGCACGCCUAGCUGCAGCACCGCCUCCUCCUGCCGCAAAUUGGGUUGAGUGGCCUUACGUCCAUGGUCAUCAUCAAACCUCCAUGGUUAUCAGUCUUGUCACGGCGUCGAAGUCUGAUGGAUGACGGCUGUUUCCCUGCAGAGUUUCAACGCUGGCGGUGAUGCAGCGUGCAGAAUGCAGCAUACAGCGAUGAGGCCGUGCCGCUAAAAUCCGAGCAUAUGACUUAGUGUUGACAAAGGGAUUCUUGAUGCUGUUCCUGUAUUGGAAAUCUGAUUUUACAAGUAAAGCUCAAGAGUGGGUUUUAGGUUUCGGUGGAGAUGUUGGAGCAUAAACUCCCUGUUUGUAUGUGGAAAGCAUAUCAUUAGACAAUGUUGUGUCACCUGACCUUUCUGAUAUGUACAUCCGCAAUCUAGCACAGAAGGGUCAAUGGUCCUCCUCCUGAAGAAAGCUCGUUUGUUGCUGCCGCAAGAGCUAGCAUACCACCACCUAGGCAGAGGGUCACUACCGCUACAGUAAGAGGGAGGAGAGGAAGGGCAAGCACAAGUUCUAAUGCCACAUGAAGAUCUACAGGAAAUGUGCAAGGAAGAGGAAAAACUACAGGAAAUGUUGAUGCAGCUGAAGUUCUAUUUACUACCAUGUUGUCCGUUUAAAUGCACCAGUUACGCAGACUGCUGCCAAUUUGCUUGAUUAUCUUUUUGUUACAGCCGUUAGGAUGCUAUCAAUUUUAGAGUCACCACAUUACUGUCAUUUGUUCUCAUUAUUCCAGAAAUAAGAAUGCAUCUGUACUUGUCAUUUUACCUUGACAUUGGCUUGUAAUUUUACUGGACCAGCGUGUAAUCUCCUUUUCAGAUUAACAUAUUGCCAUUA